rnacentral:rRNA from 1 species
GCUGGCGGCGUGCUUAACACAUGCAAGUCAAGGGGGUCCGCAAGGACAACCGGCGAACGGGUGCGUAACACGUGAGGGACCUGCCUGGAAAUGGGGGAUAGCCGGCCCAACGGCCGGGUAAUACCGCAUACGCUCAUCGAGGGGCAUUCCUUGGUGAGGAAACUUUCGAGGUUUUCAGCGGGGCUCGCGGCCUAUCAGCUUGUUGGCGGGGUAACGGCCCACCAAGGCGACGACGGGUAGCUGGUCUGAGAGGAUGGCCAGCCACAUUGGGACUGAGAGACGGCCCAGACUCCUACGGGAGGCAGCAGUGGGGAAUCUUGCGCAAUGGCCGAAAGGCUGACGCAGCGACGCCGCGUGUGGGAGGAAGCUCUUCGGGGUGUAAACCACUGUUGCCCGGGACGAACAUCUCCUUUUGAGGGGACUGACGGUACCGGGUGAGGAAGCACCGGCUAACUCUGUGCCAGCAGCCGCGGUAAUACAGAGGGUGCGAGCGUUGUCCGGAAUCACUGGGCGUAAAGGGCGCGUAGGCGGCUCGGUAAGGUUGCGGUGAAAGCCCGGGGCUCAACCCCGGGU